ACCCACUUGGCACAGUGUUUUGAGUGCUGGACUACAACUCUGGAGACCAGGGUUCAAAUCCCUGCUUGGCCA
rnacentral:tRNA from 1 species